UAAGUUGCGAAAUUAAAAAGAAAAAAACAAUUAAUCGAUAGAAAUGUUGAAGCAAUAAGUAUUCGCACAACUGUUUAAUUUUUAACACUUGAUUAAAAAAAAAAGAAAUUUAUAUUAAUUUAUAAGUAUAUAAUAUUUCCGUCGUGGAAUUUCCUUUUGAUUCUAUAAUUAUUGCAACUUUUCUAAACAUUAAAUUAACUAAAUUAUUACUUAUUCGAAGUGUGAUCUUUUUCCAUUCCUCUAUUAGAACCUUUUUUAAAAGUACUUUGCUGGAAAUUUGAUGUUUUCUAAUUCUUACGGAGCAAUAAACUAAUGUGUUUACGUUACAAACUCUACUGUAAAUGGUUCGUCGUAAGAAUCGUACAAAUACUUAUUCCUUCUAUACUUUUACCUACUUUUCGCCUUUUCUUUUAUUAAUUUCACAAAUUAUAUUAACUAGUAAAUGUUGUUUGGACUAUAUUUAUCUUAGAGACUUCCGAGAAUAUGUAAAAUAUCAUUGAUUAUAAAAAAAGAAGUUAAGAAAGUACAAUUUUAUACAAAAGGUUUUUGGAAAAUUGAUCGGUGUACGAAUACAUUCUACACCCACUGUAUUUCUUCGGCUCGAGCAAUAUGAUAUUCCCCACCAUUGCUACGCUUAUUGAUAAUCUGUGGUCUCCAUUUUCAAACACUAUCCUUAAAUAAUAUUCACGAAUUUCCAAGAAAUGAACAACCAGAAAAUCAUUGUUUAAUCCGAAGAAUUUGGCAAGUAUUAAAGUAUAUUGUCUUGUUCGACUUAAUUGUUACACGCACUCGUGCCUGAAUCGAACUUCGCUUGUCUCGUGAAGCACGCGAACGUUUAGUGUUAAUCUCGCGAAAGAAAGCAUACAGGGUGACUCGUUUUAAUUUACAAGCUGGUAUACUUGUGGAGUUAGGUUAAGGAAAUUGAAUACUUGGAGGCUAGAAGAGGUUCGAGGUCAUUUAUACUACGAAUAAUUACUUGUGAAUGGUGGGAAAAGAAGUACAGGUGUUAAGGUCAUUUCAAUGUCACUAAUAUAUUGAGUAACAUUUAUUUUUUAUUGAAUCUUUGGAAAUAAACAACGAAACAACUAAAUAUAUAAUAUUUAUCAUUUGAUAAAUAAUCACAAGUUUAAUAACUAGUGUACUAAUUAUUCGAGUAUUUUAUCGUACAAAGUAGGUAAAUAAAUUUAUCAACUACAUACAUUGAGAAUAUUAAAGCAAAUAUAUAAUUCUAAUUCUAUUUAUCGAAGUAAAAGUUCUUGAAGGUGACUGCCAGUAGAGGUGACCUUGAAAUGUCCUUGAGGCUUUCAAUCAUUUUACACCAUUCCCAAUGCAUCGCCUCCUCGAUUUUUCCAACUCCAAUCGAUUUCUUCCGCUCAACCUGGUUUCCGAAACGAUAUAUCAGCUCGUGGAUCAUAAUAUAUCACCCUGUGGAUCUAGCUAUCAGCAAAUUGCACCGUAACAGCUAGUCGUUCGUUGUUCGUUGCUUUUGAUUUCGAUACACGACAUCGAAUUCAAGUCGAGCCCACGCGAAAGCGAGCCAACGAAAUAGCAAGCUAGUCAGCGAUCUAAAACAAAAAAAAAAAAAAGAAAAACCAAUGAACAUUUGAAGUCACAAGUAUUUAUAUAAAUGCAUAUAUUAUAUAUAUAGUAUAUACAAAUAUUUACAAAACGCUUUGUUAAUUAACACGCCGGAUCGAAAUCAAAGGUAAUACGCAAAUGAUAUUUAUUGCACCCGCCUCCGUAAAACAGUUGGUUCUGUUUACAUUGGGGUGGUCCUUAUUUUAAUGAUUUUUGAAAUUUAUGUUAAUUAGUCUAUAAAUACUUUGCAGAUGUAUCAAAAAAACUGUAUCAAAAAAACUGUAUCAAAAUUCUUCUUUCGAUAACAAUUUAUAUUAAAAACAUUGAAGAUAAUAGUACAAAAAUAAUUUAAAUGGAGGAACAACUUCAUAUUCACUUGCCUGGUAUAUAAAAAAAAUAAUUGAGAUAAAAAUAAAAAAUGUUUAGAGGUUGUUUCUUUAAUUAUAAAGAAGAAUUGAUAGAAGUGAAAGAAUUGCAUUAAUUUUCCAUUUGAAACUUUCGAGGGUCCAAUACAUAUAUUAAUGUUAAAAUAAAACGCUCAAAUUUUGCAGGAAUUUUUUGUUUAUAUAUUUGCAAGGCAUCCAGGUAGCGUAACAUAGAUUUCAAAAAACAUUAAAAUAAUAACCACGCUAAUUUUGGUGCACCGCGUGUUAUGAAACGAUGAAUAGCAUCGUUGCGCAACGGGGAAACGUUUGAUUGUAAAAUGGCGGCGUGAUGGGGAGAAUUGGGGUCUGAGAUAGAAGAGAGGGGACGAGGUGUGGAAUUUUAUUCGUCGUUGAGUAACGUUUAGAGGGAUUUAGAGCUUUUUGCAAAUUAAUAGCAGGGGAGGAAGCGUUACUCCUCAAAACAUGCGCCUUCGAAAUUCGGGGAGCAAUACAAUCGAGCCACUUUUACAGUCAACGACUUAAAUUAUUCUUAUUAUGAGUAUUGUUAGCAUUUGUCAUUAUUAUUGCCAUUGUCAUUAAUUAUUAUAAUUAUUAUUAUUCACGGUCACUGUCAUUGUAGCGCGGCACUGUCGAAGGUACGAAGAGAACAUUUGAUUAUAGAGCGCGGAUGAACAGAUCGAGAUCUAUUAAAAGCAUUCAUUGCAAAGUGGCAAUAUAAAACGAUCCCAUGUGUAUCGAAACCUCUUCUUUUAGACCUAUCCUGAAGCUGGUAAGUGGUUUUUCAGUUACAAUAGUGUCUGUAGUUUAAUAUUUAAGGCUAUGUAUUAUCGUCUAGAAGUUUGUUUUUCCAGUAAUUUUUAGGAAUUAAUUUUGCGAGAACUAUCAAACCUACAGUAUCAGGGUUUUGUAUGCAUAAUAAGACACGUUUCAACUAACAACACAAAUUUUUAUGAAAUACUUGAUUGAAAUCUAUACAAGUUAUAUGCGCUGUUAUGCAGGUUGUGGCAUGAAACGCUCGUUGAAUCGGGCGGACAGGCUGUGGCGGUUCUAGUCGUCUGAGACAGAAAAACUUGAAUUAAAACUGGAAUUAAGGUUUAAUUUUCCCGGAAAAUUGUCAACUAAAAUAUGAGAGCAGGGCUAAAAUAUUCAAGGUAUCGGUAUAAUUCUAGUUCAGACCAUAGGUGAUGGUGCCCUCGAAAUGUGUGUAAAACCAUAAAGUCAGUCGGUCCGAUAGUUUUUGAGAAAAACGUGCGCCCGACUUGAAAAAUGUCGUUUCGAGGAAAACGCGUUUAAAGUUUGCUAUACAUUUAACACUAAUACUGGUGAACAGCCUUUAAGCCUCUGUAACUAUGAGAGCUCUACGAAUUUCAAAUUAAUAUUUUAUAGGCACUUUCUCAAAACCCCAAAUAAUAGGAAAAUGCCAAAAAAAAAAAAAAAAAAAAAAAUCGAAUUUUUGAAGUUUCUAGAUGAUAAUACCCCCUUAAAUGUUAGGUAUGAAGUAGCGUUUAAUUAAUCUACAAAGUGUGCGCGUUAUACUUAAGUACAUUUGCCCUGGUCUUUUCUCUGCCGUUCAUCUUAAAAAGUUUCAAUUUUGGGCAUUCCCUUUUAUUUCACUUUCAUAUCCCAUACAUUUCCCAUUUAUUUUACAUUUGCAUGUCUUUCGUUUUACGUACGUUUUCUAUUUACUUCACAUUUAUAUCCCUUCACUUUUACAUUCACUUCCCAAUGCGACAAAUCUGCAAAUCGUCAAUUUGCAACCAACCAUUGAAACCAACAAAGUUGGUGAAUAGAAAAUGAAAGAAAUACAUAUGUGUAGGAAGUGAACAGAACACGAAUGGGAAACAAAACAAACGCAAAUAGUAAGUGAAUAACAAACUAAUAGAAAAUAACACGACGUCGACAAGGAGUUUGGAAGAAGCUUAAAAAGUGACUUAAAGAUUACGUGAAAGGAAAUGAAAAGAAAAUUGUACAAGAACUUAAAAGUAAGUAUUAACAGAGAAUUAAUUUAAUAUUUUACAUCAUUAACACCCUUCAUUCACCCCUGAAAGUCGUAGCCUUCAACUACAAUCUGUUACACUCUGUACAAGCCGCAGCGAUGUUUCUACUAUUAACGUAGAUGAAUAGCGAUGUCUUAUUACCAAUUCGUUCAAUGUCAUUAGACAAAAAGACAGACGAAUGUUCGCUGUCCAACAGGCCCAUUUCGCUUGGUGCUCUUCUUUCUCGCGCGCGAAGACUUCUAAGUGGACCAAAGAAAUCGUUUAUUGGCCUCCAAAGUAGGUUACCGGCACGGGGCUUCGCAAACUGCACGAUUAAUUAACCAUAAAAAUACGAGCACGCUAUAGACGUCACGCAUACGAAGCGUCCCGUAUUUGUGCAACGAACUUUGUGCAUAUCAAAUGGUUUCGCAAAUUUUUGGCGUCAUCUGUGCGAUCCAACUACGAAGCUUGGCGCUCGAUACCGCUGGGCUUCCCCCGCGAUAACUUUCUUCGCUUCUUCUUAUGUAUGUAAUCACCUCGAGUUUGCAAAACGUGUUUCUCUUUCUGUCGUUAGUUAAUGUCACUUCCAGAAUUUGCUCUACUCUGAAACUCCACUCCAUUUGUCUCCCAUGUUUCAUAGACUUCAUUCUCUGUUCGAUUCUAUUCGUUCUAAUUAAUUAGAAAUACGAUAUUUAUUAGAAAUAACUGAUUAAAAAUGGAACGAAAUUAGAUAAUUAAAGAGGAGAGAAAAUGAAACAUAGAAAAUGAGUAGAAUAUAAAUAGAAAAAUAAAUUCGGGAAUGAAACAAAUAUGAAUAGGAAGUGAAUGGAAGAUUAAUGGAAAAUAAGAGGGAGUUUAAAUAGAACUUAAAGUUCUUCUGGGGUUAAAAAUGAUUGAUAUAAAAGUAGUUGAAGAAGUACAUUUAUUAUAAAUCUUCCAUGUAAUAAUAUAAUAUAAUACACAGAAUAAUAAAUAAUAAACAAUUAUAGAAUAUAAUCGCAUAGAAUAAUUACAAUUAUUAUAAAUAUUAAAAUUAAAUUAUAUCAUAUUCGUAAUAACAAAAAUUAUAACAUAGUUAAAUAAUAACACAUUCUGCUCAAUUCUCGCAUUUUAAUUAAACUUUAUCAGUUAGAUCGCAAUCUGACUCAUCUUCCACGCAUUGGAAACGCAGUAUCUUUGCGAAACCUGUUUUCUAUCGCGGAUUUCGUCUCGAGAUUUAUUUCCUUUAUCUUACAAGUCCAUUUCCGUAGACACGCAAUAUAUUCGCGUCUAAAUAGGAUGGCUCUUACAAUUAGUGUCGAAACGUCUCUAUGUCGAAAUAGACCGUCACGGAUCGCUUGUCCGUUUCACGAGGCGUUAAGCAUUUUUGUUGAGUGCACUGUGGUUACCCUAAGCUAAUGGAUGGAUCUCACGAGGUGAACUUGACUUACGAUGGUUACACUUGCGAUCGAAUGAGAAAGAGGGAAAGGAGGAAAACUGAGAAUUCGCGGUCGAUGAUCAUAUACCAUGUAGAAAAUUCAACCUUGAUGCUUCAUGUGCUUGUGCUUCCUGGCACGUCUGCGUACGAGCUCUCUGACGAUGAGAUUUAUGGUCCUACCUUGGAAUUACGUCUAACCACUGUGUUUUAAAAAGUACUUAGACCGACACUUGUCUCUGGAUACCCGUUGCAGUGUUAUUGCAUAAUAAAUUGCUAGCAACGAGUUCUGCUAUAUAAUCCGGACGAAUGAGCACGCUGCUGUUCGAAUAAAUUCACGAGUUACUGAAUGUUUUAUCGAGAUGCAAAUAUCAACGAUACCCUCGUCGAGAAUUACAUUAAAAAAAUAUUCUCGGCAACGCGGAAGACUCGUAGAACAAUUUUUGGGGAAAGAGUCUCAUUGAGUUUUCUUCGUUUAUGUGCACAAUUGCACACGUAUGAGAGCUAUCCAGAGACACGUGGUUUUGUAAGUAAUUAAACACAUUUCUAUAACCUCCGUUGUAUAAAAUAAACGUAAAUGUGAUCAACGCAGAAUAUCUGAUUACAUGUACGAUAGCUUGAGAGAUCUCAUCAAGAGUCUGAUCUUCGAUUCCAGAAUGAUCUAUAUUUUAACAAAUAGAUUAGGAUAGCGUAUUAUACAUUGUAACGGAGCAGAUAACGUCGAAACUUGAUACCAUCGAUAAACAUCAAACAACAAACAACAAAUAAGAGCAACUAAUUAACAACAAUGCCGAGGUCUCAAAAAAGGGAUCCAAAUUGCACACUCCAAAAUGUGCAGGUGGAGGUGAUGUGAAGUUUCAGUUGAAACUGAAUCUGUUUCUGGAGCUGUAGUUAAUGUUGCGGUUGCAGUUGCAGUUGAAUUUAACUCCACAUAUAAGGUCGACGAAAAGUGUAUAUAUAAUGUGAAUUGACGAUCUGUUUAUACAUAGUUGUAUAACAUACAUAGAUGUAUCUUAAUUAGUAAGAAAUAAAACCAAACCAACACAUCCAUAGUUGAGUUGUUUUCCAUACAUUACAUUUUCUCCUUCCCAUAGUUGUGUUCUAGACAUACUACUCAUUGCGAACCCAUAAAAUCCAUCAUUCCAAUAAUGAUCACCGCCGCCCAUUGAAAGAAAAGAAAAGAAAAGGGAAAGUACCGAGCGGAAUUCUCACCCAAAUUGCUCAUUCAAGCACCGAUCUUUACGUUUAAUAAGUCUCCAAUUCCCUGUCUCCGUUUGCAGAUAUUAAAGUUUAAUUAAUUGCCUAAAUCCAAAAAGAACGAGGAGGAUCGCGGACGAGGACUCAUAUGGAUCGCGGACGCUCGUCUCGAUAAGUAGGUUGAUUGUUAUCCGUGCAUGAAGACGGAUUGAGUAACGAAAAAAAUGGCGACUAUUUCACGAGCAUCCGAGCUCUGGAGGAAACGCGAGCCUCCAGUUUGCAAAAAGGCCUCGUCGGUAUAAUUUUCAUUCAUCCUGAACCAUUAUGCGCGGCUGAAUAGCUUGUUCGAUUGAAGAAGUAUUCUAGUAUGGUAUUAUCUUGUAUAAUUAUUGUAUAUUUGUAUUGUAAGAAAUGUAUAAUAAAAUUUUAUUC